rnacentral:rRNA from 1 species
GGGUUGUGAGGUUAAGCGACUAAGCGUACACGGUGGAUGCCCUGGCAGUCAGAGGCGAUGAAGGACGUGCUAAUCUGCGAAAAGCGCCGGCGAGGUGAUAUGAACCUUUGACCCGGCGAUGUCCGAAUGGGGAAACCCAGUGUGUUCCGACACACUAUCGUUAACUGAAUACAUAGGUUAACGAGGCGAACCGGGGGAACUGAAACAUCUAAGUACCCCGAGGAAAAGAAAUCAACCGAGAUUCCCCCAGUAGCGGCGAGCGAACGGGGAGCAGCCCAGAGUCUGAAUCAGCUUGUGUGUUAGUGGAAGCGUCUGGAAAGUCGCACGGUACAGGGUGAUAGUCCCGUACACGAAAGCACACUUGCUGUGAACUCGAAGAGUAGGGCGGGACACGUGGUAUCCUGUCUGAAUAUGGGGGGACCAUCCUCCAAGGCUAAAUACUCCUGACUGACCGAUAGUGAACCAGUACCGUGAGGGAAAGGCGAAAAGAACCCCGGCGAGGGGAGUGAAAAAGAACCUGAAACCGUGUACGUACAAGCAGUGGGAGCCUACUUGUUAGGUGACUGCGUACCUUUUGUAUAAUGGGUCAGCGACUUAUAUUCUGUAGCAAGGUUAACCGUAUAGGGGAGCCGAAGGGAAACCGAGUCUUAACUGGGCGUUAAGUUGCAGGGUAUAGACCCGAAACCCGGUGAUCUAGCCAUGGGCAGGUUGAAGGUUGGGUAACACUAACUGGAGGACCGAACCGACUAAUGUUGAAAAAUUAGCGGAUGACUUGUGGCUGGGGGUGAAAGGCCAAUCAAACCGGGAGAUAGCUGGUUCUCCCCGAAAGCUAUUUAGGUAGCGCCUCGUGAACUCAUCUUCGGGGGUAGAGCACUGUUUCGGCUAGGGGGCCAUCCCGGCUUACCAACCCGAUGCAAACUACGAAUACCGAAGAAUGUUAUCACGGGAGACACACGGCGGGUGCUAACGUCCGUCGUGAAGAGGGAAACAACCCAGACCGCCAGCUAAGGUCCCAAAGUCAUGGUUAAGUGGGAAACGAUGUGGGAAGGCACAGACAGCCAGGAUGUUGGCUUAGAAGCAGCCAUCAUUUAAAGAAAGCGUAAUAGCUCACUGGUCGAGUCGGCCUGCGCGGAAGAUGUAACGGGGCUAAACCAUGCACCGAAGCUGCGGCAGCGACGCUUAUGCGUUGUUGGGUAGGGGAGCGUUCUGUAAGCCGUUGAAGGUGGCCUGUGAGGGUUGCUGGAGGUAUCAGAAGUGCGAAUGCUGACAUAAGUAACGAUAAUGCGGGUGAAAAGCCCGCACGCCGGAAGACCAAGGGUUCCUGUCCAACGUUAAUCGGGGCAGGGUGAGUCGACCCCUAAGGCGAGGCCGAAAGGCGUAGUCGAUGGGAAACAGGUUAAUAUUCCUGUACUUGGUGUUACUGCGAAGGGGGGACGGAGAAGGCUAUGUUAGCCGGGCGACGGUUGUCCCGGUUUAAGCAUGUAGGCGGGA